CCCGCUGAACUUAAGCAUAUUAAUAAGCGGAGGACAAUGAAACCAACAGGGAUUGCCUCAGUAACGGCGAGUGAAGCGGCAACAGCUCAAAUUUGAAAUCUGGCCUUUGGUCCGAGUUGUAAUUUGUAGAGGAUGUUUCGAGCAUGGUCCGGUCUAAGUUNCCUGGAACAGGACGUCAUAGAGGGUGAGAAUCCCGUAUGCGACUGGGUGCCUAAGCUUAUGUGAAACUCCUUCAACGAGUCGAGUUGUUUGGGAAUGCAGCUCAAAAUGGGUGGUAAAUUUCAUCUAAAGCUAAAUAUUGGCCAGAGACCGAUAGCGCACAAGUAGAGUGAUCGAAAGAUGAAAAGCACUUUGGAAAGAGAGUUAAACAGUACGUGAAAUUGUUGAAAGGGAAGCGCUUGCAACCAGACUUGCAUGCAGUUAAUCAUCCGGUGUUCUCACCGGUGCACUUGAUUGUAUUCAGGCCAGCAUCGGUUUCAGUGGUUGGAUAAAGGCCUUGGGAAUGUAGCUUCUUUCGGGGAGUGUUAUAGCCCUCGGUGUAAUGCAGCCUACUGGGACCGAGGACCGCGCUUCGGCUAGGAUGCUGGCGUAAUGGUUGUAAGCGACCCGUCUUGAAACACGG
rnacentral:rRNA from 1 species